rnacentral:rRNA from 1 species
UACGGAGGGUGCUAGCGUUGUCCGGAAUUACUGGGCGUAAAGCGCACGUAGGCGGCUUUGUAAGUUAGAGGUGAAAGCCCGGGGCUCAACUCCGGAAUUGCCUUUAAGACUGCAUCGCUAGAAUUGUGGAGAGGUAAGUGGAAUUCCGAGUGUAGAGGUGAAAUUCGUAGAUAUUCGGAAGAACACCAGUGGCGAAGGCGACUUACUGGACACAUAUUGACGCUGAGGUGCGAAAGCGUGGGGAGCAAACAGG